CUUGGCGACCAUAGCGUUGCGGACCCACCUGAUCCCAUGCCGAACUCAGAAGUGAAACGCAGUAGCGCCGAUGGUAGUGUGGGGUCUCCCCAUGUGAGAGUAGGACAUCGCCAGGU
rnacentral:rRNA from 1 species